UUGACACCCGCGAACUUUGGCCCCAGUUUACACGUCGCUCCUACUGCUCUGUAGUUCGCCGCACUGUUUUGAAUCUCAACCUUCCAUGGGCGGGACUAGGGGAACCGGCGCUACUAUUGGCCAAAGGAUAAGACAAGGCUCCCUGACGUCAUUUCACUUUCAAAACAAAUUCAAGCGGGAAAAACUGAGCUUUCAAAUUUGAAUUGGAGGCAGGUCCAGCUCUGUCUAAUUGGACUGUAUUGGUUCGAGAGGGUUGGUUGGUUUUUUUUGGACCGUGUCAUUUGAAACCCCCACGCAGCCCUGCAUUUAUGCUCUCGCUGGAGGUCCAGCUUCUGUACUGCAUUAAGGAACUCGGAUUCGUUGCUUCGCCUUCAGGCGGUAGAAUCUCUACUCCGCAUAGGACCAUACCUAGAAAGCGGGUGAAAUGUCCAGCCUUCAAAUGAAAACUGCUUCCCCUCUUCACGUGUUGAUUCCUUUGAACUGCUUGCCAAUUCAGCCAGCACCACCUGCAACUGCCUUCCAGAUUGUCCCAUCUGGCUGUGACACAUUUCAGUAUUUCAGCAAAAAGGACCACUAAGGGAUUCAUUCACGGAAUCAUGCAACUGAGAGGAGUCUUUCCAAAAGAAUGAUCUAAUCCAACCAUGGCCCCCAAUGUUGGCUUAUUCUACACAUAAAAACAUUCACAUCUACUGA